CGGAAAUCGUACGUAGAGUGUAAAGGCAAAAGAGAGCUUGAUUGCAAGACAUACAGGUCGAGCAAGGAUGAAAAUCGGACUUAGUGAUCCGGUGGUUCUGCGUGGAAGGGCCAUCGCUCAACGGAUAAAAGCUACCCUGGGGAUAACAGGCUUAUCUCCCCCAAGAGUCCACAUCGACGGGGAGGUUUGGCACCUCGAUGUCGGCUCAUCACAUCCUGGGGCUGUAGUAGGUCCCAAGGGUUGGGCUGGGUAGCUAUGUACGGAAUGGAUAAGCGCUGAAAGCAUCUAAGCGCGAAGCCAACUUCAAGAUAAGAUUUCCCACCGCAAGGGUAAGACUCCAGAAAGACUAUCUGGUUGAUAGGUCGAAGGUGUAAGUGCAGCAAUGUAUUUAGCUUAUCGAUACUAAUAGGUCGAGGACUUGACCAAU
rnacentral:rRNA from 1 species